rnacentral:rRNA from 1 species
AGUGAACGCUGGCGGUAGGCCUAACACAUGCAAGUCGAACGGCAGCACAGUAAGAGCUUGCUCUUACGGGUGGCGAGUGGCGGACGGGUGAGGAAUACAUCGGAAUCUACUUUUUCGUGGGGGAUAACGUAGGGAAACUUACGCUAAUACCGCAUACGACCUACGGGUGAAAGCAGGGGAUCUUCGGACCUUGCGCGAUUGAAUGAGCCGAUGUCGGAUUAGCUAGUUGGCGGGGUAAAGGCCCACCAAGGCGACGAUCCGUAGCUGGUCUGAGAGGAUGAACAGCCACACAGGAUGUGAGACAGUGUCAACGCUCGUGCGGGGGGGAGAAGGGGGGAAUGGGGGACGUUGGGGGCACGAAUCAGCCAGCAAUACGUGGUGGGUGAAGAAGGCGGUAGGGUUGUAUAGCCCUUUUGUUGAAAAAGAAAAGCGGCAGGUGAAUACCCCGUUGGUCUGACGGUACACAAAGAACAAGCACCGGCUAACGUCGCGCCAGCAGCGCGGUAAUGAGGAAGAGCACACGUCUGACC